rnacentral:rRNA from 1 species
ACUCCUACGGGAGGCAGCAGGCGCGCAAAUUACCCAAUGGCAACUCAGCCGAGGUAGUGAAAAGACAUACAAGGGACUGUCUUAAUGAUGGUCCACUUGAAUGAGAGAGUUUCAAACGUACUCUUGAGUAACAAUUAGAGGGCAAGUCUGGUGCCAGCAGCCGCGGUAAU